ACCUUUGAUUUGGAGACUUUAGAGUUCAAGAUCCAAUUUUUCUUGUUGUUUUUGUAGUUUUGAGUAAAGGGUCAGUUUCAGAUGUAUAUAUUUGCUUAAUCCUUUGUUGGAAUUUAGAGUUUUUGUAGAAAUGAAGGAUUCAACUACAGAUCCAAUUGGGCAAAACUUGAUAAAGGUUAUAAGCAAUGUGUGUUUCUCAGUUUUUGUGUUUUCUGUGCUUAUAAUUACUGUAAUUGCUAUUACAUACCAACCCCCUGAUCCAUGGGAAUCAUCUAGAGCCUUAACUAGGGUGUUUACUCAAGUCGAAAACGCCACAUUCAAAGUUGAUAAUUCUGUCUUAAAAACUGGUGAGGAUGUUGCUAGUAGUCCUAUUGAAGCUCCUGCUGGAGCUUUUGCUUUAGUGCCGAUUACUGAAGCUAUUAUCGAGAAAUCGGAAGAGAAUCUGUCGAAUGAGACUUUGAAAUCAGGAUGUGAGGAUGUGAAUGUAGUGAAUUGUUCGGAUCCUCGGGUCUUGUAUACGAUCGAGAGGUUUAAUUUGAAGGCCUUUAAGUCCAUUGCGUUUUUGGACUAUCGAACGCCUGUUAACGGGUCGAAACCGAAUGAAUGUGAUGUGGCGUGGAGGUUCCGAAACAGGAAAGAGAGAUCUUGGAGAAAGUAUAGGGAUUUCCGGAGGUUUAAGAUUGGUUUCACUGAUGAUUGUAGUUAUAAAGUGGUACAUGCAGGUCGCUGGCGUUCAGGAGUAAAUGCCCGUCGUCCGAGAAUCCGAGUUAAUUCCACUAGAACUAGUACAAGAGCCAAGAUUGCUCCACCAGUUAUAGAUGAAGAGAUCAAUGAUACUAUUCCAAUCAUGGGAUCAGAUUCAGAUUUCAAGAACGGGAGAUACUUGUACUAUUCUCGGGGUGGCGAUUACUGUAAAGGAAUGAACCAGUACAUGUGGAGUUUUCUGUGUGCUUUAGGUGAGGCUCAGUACUUGAAUCGCACAUUCGUGAUGGACUUAAGUAUCUGUUUGGCAUCUUCUCACACUAGUAGUCAUAAGGAUGAGGAAGGGAAAGACUUUAGGUUCUAUUUUGAUUUCGAACAUUUGAAGGAGACUGCAUCCAUUGUCGAGGAAGGAGACUUUCAUAAAGAUUGGAGGAAAUGGAAUAAGGCACAUAAGAAGAAAAUCUCUGUAAGAAAGGUUAAGGACUACAAAGUGUCCCCUGACCAACUGUUGAAGGAUAAGAGCACAAUAAUAUGGAGGCAAUUUGAUGCCCCCGAACCGGAGAACUAUUGGUAUCGGGUUUGUGAAGGGCCUUCUGCCAAAUACAUCCAGAGACCAUGGCACGCAGUGUGGAAAUCAAAGCGACUGAUGAAUAUAGUAACUGAGAUCAGUGGAAGCAUGGACUGGGAUUUCGAUGCUGUUCAUGUUGUUCGUGGAGAGAAAGCACAGAAUAAGGCGUUAUGGCCCCAUCUUGAUGCUGAUACAUCCCCCGAUUCACUUGUCACGAAGCUUCAAGGAAUUAUCGCACCUUGGAGGAAUCUGUAUGUUGCCACAAACGAGCCGUAUUAUAACUAUUUUGAUAAGCUUAGAUCUCAUUACAAGGUGCAUUUGCUUGAUGAUUACAACUACUUGUGGAGUAAUACAAGUGAGUGGUAUAAUGAAACAACACAACUGAAUGGUGGCUCUCCAGUUGAAUUCGACGGGUAUAUGAGAGUUGAGGUCGAUACAGAGGUCCUUUAUCGAGCAAAAUCAAGGGUCGAGACAUUUUACAACUUGACAAAAGAUUGCAAGGAUGGAAUUAAUACGUGCUAGAUCGCAAGGUGAUAUCUUUUUGUGCUCUGUAUACGCCAUUUACACUUGUUUCCGCUGUUUCUAAAUUUGCUUAGAUGUUCUGUAUCUGAGGUUUGAGCUAUUUCACGCUUGUCACGUAACAUAUUUGUACAAUAUUCAGUACCAUAAUCUUCAUUCGUCUGAGAUUCG
rnacentral:misc_RNA from 1 species